CUUUCUCCCAAAACAUUAACAAAAACAAAUAUCGCAAAGAAAGAAGAGAAAGAGAAAAGUCUUGUGUGUUUUUCUAUUUUAAAGAGAAACGAAAAUAUAGCAUUGAAAGAUCUCAACACAGAAAUAAUAAAUUGAAGUGAGAAUCAGAAGAAUCCAAAUUCAAUAAUAAAAGCUUUUUUUUUAUAUAAAUAAGGAAACAGAACAAAAGGAUGGAUAGUUUGUGUCUGAAUCCCGGCUUACUUCCAGCGGUUGUGGAGGAGUUGUUGAAGUGAGAGCAACCGCAUCGCAGCGAAAAAAGAGACCUUUUGGGUUCUCUUUCAAACACCCAUUGACGCCCUUUUGGUCACGCGGUGGUGGAAUUGCGUGGAGAAGACGAAGCGGCUUGGCUUUGGAUGAAGCUGUUCUGGAUGAUUCGAGACAGACAAUCGCGGAGGAGGAGCCAUCGGAGAGGCGAAAUGGGAGCUGGAUUUCGAAGAUCUUGGAUGUGCAGUCUAUGUGGAGAGAUGGAGAGCUAGACGAAGAAGAAGAACUGGACGACGCCGUAUUGUCUGAAGCUGAAGAGGAUGUAUGUUCGGUUUUGGAAGAUGAUGGUGACGAAGAAAACAAAUUUCAGAUGCACAGAGAAUCAUUCUCUAAAUUGCUCAAGAGGGUCUCCUUGUCCGAAUCAAAACUCUACGCCCAAAUGUCUUAUUUGGGAAACUUGGCUUAUUCCAUUUCAAAGAUCAAGCCUGCGAAUCUGUCCAAGUAUUACGGCCUUAGGUUCGUAACUUCAUCAGCUGAGAAAACAGAGUUAGCUUUAAAGGCUCAAGUUUCAGGUGAGACCAAGCCAAAGGAGGAGGAUGAUGAAGAAGAAGAAGAAACUGAAGAUCGCAUGAUUAGUGCAUCUGCUGCAUAUGAGGUUGUUGCAUCAGCUGCUUCUUACCUUCAGUCUCGUACCACCAACAUUCUUCCUUUCACUGAUGAGGAGGAAUCGUCAUCUUCUUCUUCUUUAACCAGCUCUGUUACUUGUGUUGUUGCUGCUGAGGAAGAUGUCAAACAAGCUGUUGCUGACGAUUUGAAAUCCACCAUCUCCUCUCCUUGUGAUUGGUUUAUUUGCGAUGAUGAUCAAACUCUCACCAGAUUCUUUGUCAUUCAGGGAUCGGAAUCUCUAGCUUCUUGGCAAGCAAACCUUCUCUUUGAGCCAAUUGAAUUUGAGGAACUGGAUGGUGCCAUUGUUCACAGAGGAAUAUACGAAGUUCAAGCCCACAUCAAAGCCCAUGGAAACCGAGCUAAGUUCCGUUUCACCGGACAUUCGUUAGGGGGAAGCUUGUCUCUAUUACUAAACCUCAUGUUACUGGUUCGAGGUGAAGUACCUGCUUCUUCUUUACUCCCUGUUAUUACAUUUGGUGCGCCCUUUGUACUAUGUGGAGGCGACCGUCUUCUUAAAAAGCUUGGGUUGCCUAAAAGCCACGUUCAAGCCAUCAUAAUGCACCGUGACAUUGUCCCAAGAGCCUUUUCUUGUAACUACCCUUACCAUGUAGCAGAGCUUCUCAAAGCUGUGAACGGCAACUUCCGUAGCCAUCCUUGUCUUACCAAGCAGAGUAUGUUGUAUUCUCCCAUGGGGGAGCUUCUAAUCCUUCAACCGGAUGAGUCAUUCUCUCCAGGACACGAUCUUCUUCCUCCAGGAAAUGGUUUAUAUCUUCUAACCGGUGGUGGUUUUGAAUCACUGGAUGAGGAGGAGGAGGAACAACGGUUGAGAGCUGCGCACACGGUUUUCUUGAACACGCCACAUCCUCUCGAUAUCCUUAGCGACAGAUCAGCUUACGGGUCGAGCGGGACCAUACAAAGGGAUCAUGACAUGAACUCAUACCUGAAAGCGGUUAGGAGUGUGAUAAGAAAAGAAGUGAGUCAGAUAAGGAGGUUGAAGAGGGAGCAUCGUCGGAGUCUCUGGUGGCCUAUUCUGGUGGCCACAGAAAGCGGGAGGACCUCGGAGACUGCGAUUGGCAACGGACAAAUCAGCGGUCAGGAUUUCUCGGGGAUGAUGAAGACAGGAAGAAAGUCUUUGCAGAGGUUUAGCCGCCUUGUGGCGUCUCAACAUAUGCCUUUGAUCCUUGUUCUCUUGUUUCCGGUUAAGUUGUUGUUCCUUGAAGCUUUCAACGUCCUUAGUUUCCGUUGAAUUGUUUUUCUUUUGGCGGGUUAAGGUCGUCUGAUGAUGAUACCGGUUAAGCCGGGUUCGGUAAUGACCGGUUUAGAUCAUUCUUUAUUCAUUUCAUAUUUGUUUGUUUUGUUGCGUUUAUGCAGUAAAUGGAAUAUAAGGGUAUCGAAAGGACGAGAGUCCUGACCAAAGUAGUAACUUUAAUUCUAACCCAUCUCUUUUUGUGUCC